AAUCAAAACAAUUUCUUUCUCGGAGAGCAACAAGAGUCCACUAGUCCUACUCCGGUCCGGCCCUCCCCGCACCGGCCGCGCGCAUAGGCACAGCCCCCAGCCCCAAACCAGAGCGAGCGGUCGGCGGCGCGGCGGAAGCGGGAAUGAUGGAUGCGCGGCGGUGGCAGUCCCCGGCGGCGGCCGCCGCGGCCGCCGAGGCGGCGGCGGAGGACGCGUCCGGCGGCGGGGGCGGGCCCUCGAGGCGGCCGCUGCGCCGCGGCCUGCAACGCGCGUCGCCCUACGGGCUGGGCCCCCGGCGCUGGCUCCCGAAGCCCCCGGUGGCCUCUAGUGUCUUCGCCGCCGCGUCCCGUGACCACACCGCCGCAGACGAUAAUCGGAUGGGUCGAUAUGAAUCAAUGGAUGCUGCGCAUGAAGCGAGCAGAGUAACACAUGAAAAUAAGUCUAUGAAACCAAAUACCAAUGCUAUAACCAAUGUGGCCCUAACGUUUCCAAGCAAUGUCAACCUGCUGCCUGAUGGUGAUGACAUAAAUCGGAGCGAUGUCAGUGGACUUGCUGAAAUCGAGAAGAUCAUCAAACAGAAGCAAUUUUCUAGGGAUGAAACAGAACGUUUGAUAGAGAUUAUGCGUUUGAGGACUCCUGAUCUCCAUGGCGACGAUCAGAGAGCUACACACUCUUUUGCGAAAGAAACUGAAACUACACCAUUUUCAAACAAACUGGUGAUACCUGCAAAGCCAGAUGAACGAAAUUGGGGGACUGAUAUGUUUGCACAGUCAAAUGUGCAUGAUGCUACUUCACCCAUUGAACUUGCUAGAGCUUAUAUGGAAGCACAGACCUCAGCAAGUGUACAUGAAUCUCAAAAGAGAAAAUUCAGAGCUUUGAGUCAUGGAGUUGAAAUUGAGAAUUCAGCAUCAAAAAUAUUCCCUAAAGUGGCCAUGGACUCUCCUGUGCGCUGGCCAGGUUCAGUUGUCCGAGACCAUACAAACCACUACCUUACACCACAAAGUAAUAAACGAAGAGCUCUUCCUCCUGCAUCCUCUCGGUCACCAUAUACUGGCUCAGUUUUCCGAAGAUCUGUCAAGAGAACAGGACAGCUUGAUACCUAUAGUAACUCAUCUGGGCGGCCACAGCUUUCAACACCUUUUUCCGUUGGAAGUAAGGCUAUGCUAGAGGAUAAAAUGACAUCAAUUGAUGGUGUUCUUGGAGUGCAACCAUCAACCUCUUCUGAAAGAGUACAUGUAGAUGCCGUUGGCACUGAUACUCCACAUACAUUCACCCUAGAAAGACCUCACGGCAAAGGCACCAUAGAAAGCGGUUCGGGUACUGGACGUAUACCAGUGGCAGACAAUAUUUCCAAGCAUGCUGCUGUAUCUGUUCACCCGAAGUCGAGCCAGACAGCUCAGAAAAUACUCCAGCAUCUUGAGAGGACAAUUCCAUCCCCUACAGUAAAGCCAGAGCUAAGGCGAACUGCAAAGAGAACUAUUUCCCCUGUUGUCAUCAGCAGCCCGUAUAAAAUGCCCGACUCCAUCACUAAUAAUGCUCCCAGACAGAACAGCCUCAAUGAGCGUGCCAGUGCUUAUCAGGAAAUUUCAAAUGUGAAGAAGGUUCAGGAACCCCCAAGCAGCUCCAAUUGUGAGGAGCCGGCUCCAAAGGUCCAGAGCCCAGUGGCCACCCCAGAAGUCGCCGCAAUGACCAGCUCGCAGCAUCCUUCAAAACCCGACGUGGCAACUGCACCAGCUGCAGCAGUCUCGGAUAAAAGCGCGACCAAUGGUUUCAUGUUCUCGUUCCCUGUCACCAAAACCUCAGUUUCGCUUCCAGAACCGCCACCCACACCUACUUUCUUCUCACCGCCAAAAAGGAGCCCCCCAGCUGACAUCCAAGAUAUCCCCAAGUUCAACUUUGGCUCAGCAAGCCCUACGGAUAAUCUUGUUUUCUCCGUCGAUUCGGCGAGCGUCUCUGCUGGUGCAGAGGAAGUGGCUCCAACCUUCAAGAUUGGGUCGGACAAGAAGCGAGAACUGUCCUUUGAUGUGGCUGGGAAAGAUGCAGUUGUCUCUUAGAGAUGGGCAUCCUCUGCCAUCUGAACCCGGUCGCCACUUGUUAUUUGCUGGGAUGACGGCACCAUUUAUAACAAACAAUACAUGACUUAUACAAGAAAACAUGGGCCUCGCAUACCCCAGUAUUUUCUACGUAUAUUUUUUGUGGAUGCUCCUGUCCUGAGUUAUGUGUCAUUUGCAGGAUCUCCCUCCCCCCUGUGUUUCUCAACCAAGCCACGCCUGGAGUCAGUUGGGCAUCAGCCAAUUUGGUGUCCACACGGCUUUGGACCUUCUUUUCUCCAUGGAAGCGCGUCUGAUCCCGCGCAUUUUGACGUAUCAUCCGACUUGGAAAAACCAAAACAAACAAGGGGGAUGAUCUGGUUCCCAGAGACCCAAAGACAGGAGUCGAGUCCGAGUCAUGAGGGUGACCGGCUGAUGCAGAAAGGCAUUGACUGAUUGCGUUUUCGCGCUGGCCUGAUGGUACCUUUGAACCAAGCAUGGCCAAAAUGUAGGGUGUCACGCUCAUUACAGUAGUAUUAUUAAUAGUGAUAGUCUAUCUCAUGCAUGCAUGGUGUGAAAUAAAAGUUUAGCUUUGACGCGUUGGUACGAGCUGAUUGUGGGUAGGGUUAGGGAGGCGGCGUCGCCUUCGUGACAGCGUUCGUGGCCUGGAGAAAGGGGAAUCUUGUCCGUGCCAUUAUUGUAGACUUGAAGUUAUGUAUCUGCCCGGCACGGCGGGUGUGAUUUGAGCGGUGGAUCGUCUGAUUAUG
rnacentral:rRNA from 1 species